GUUUCUAUCCUGCAGCUGACGAGAGCAGAUUUGACCAAGAGGGUUAGAAACAGAAGCACAGAAAAUCCACCUUAGUGAAUGAUGAAAGCCAAAGAUUGGUCAGAAAGCAAGCACUAGGAGAAAAGGACAUUGGGAGAGCAACCAUAACUCACAACUUGUUUGUACACUUGGGUUUUUCCUCUGUGUGAAUGAAGUCAUCCGACAGAGUUUGAAUAAUAUUUGCAUGGGAAAUUGGACCAAAGACUAGUCCAACUGACUCACUGAGAGGACUGAAGAAUUUACCAUUCAAGAGUGAUUUUCUUUUGCCCGUAUGGGUUCUCUGGGCACCCCAAAUGGGGUCACCUUUUUAUAUUAUCUUAGAUUCUUAUGCAUUUGAUAAGACUCACUACUAAAAAAUUGAGAUGUGAUCAUUGGAAUGGAUAUGGAUGAGGUAAAUGUAGAAAUUGCA